UUCAUUUGGUAGCUUAGAGUCCCAGGAUUAAGAUAUGGUGAUGCAUGGAGGGAGAACCCCACUCUGGGAAGAGAAGAGCAACAGCAUCUCCUGUCUCCCUCAGUCCAGGCUUUGUGCCAGAUUAUCUCACGGAUCCUCACAAGUACACAGCCUAGGGUGACUUAAAAGAAGAAGAGAUUAAGACACAGACAGAUACAGAGGAAAGAUUA
rnacentral:lncRNA from 1 species